rnacentral:rRNA from 1 species
CCUACGGGAGGCAGCAGUAGGGAAUUUUCGUCAAUGGGCGCAAGCCUGAACGAGCAAUGCCGCGUGAACGAGGAAGGUCUUCGGAUCGUAAAGUUUUGUUGAAGGGGGAAAAGAGUGGAGAGAGGAAAUGCUUUCUGAUUGAUAUUACCCUUCGAGGAAGGCACGGCUAACUACGUGCCAGCAGCCGCGGUAAUACGUAGGUGGCGAGCGUUAUCCGGAUUGAUUGGGCGUAAAGGGUGCGUAGGCGGCCUGUUAAGUCUGGAGUGAAAGGUACGGGCUCAACCGGUACAUGCCGUGGAAACUGGCGGGCUAGAGAGCAGGAGAGGUAGGUGGAACUCCAUGUGUAGCGGUAAAAUGCGUAGAUAUAUGGAAGAACACCAGUGGCGAAGGCAGCAGACUGGCGUGUUACUGACGCUGAGGCACGAAAGCGUGGGGAGCAAAUAGGAUUAGAUACCCUUGUAGUC